rnacentral:lncRNA from 1 species
GUCUCUUUCCCUCAGGCUCAUAACACUGUUGACCUGAAAUCUCCUUUUAAAUUUUGCUUCUUUCCAUGGCCUUGGCCAGGUCCCAUGUGCCUCUCUGUCCUGUCCUUCUUGGGCACAGCACUUGGGUUCUGGUUUUCCUCAUGGCUCCUGUCACUGCGUCACUCGCGGUGGGCCUGAAGUCACUUGUGGAGCUCUGGGGCGGUGCUUUCCUGGGAACAGGCUGUUGCUGGCUGCUUUUCCUGCUGUCUGUGAGGCUGACACAGUUCCCGUUCACGCGCAUUCCUGUUGCCUGAAGCUCACUCCUCUGGCUGGCUCUUUGUGGGACCUCCUUGGUUGGGCAGGAGAGCAGUUCGGGGGUUCCAUUCUUGCUCUGGGGUCACAGUGGACUAAGGACUGUGUCCUGGACAUGUGUCCCCAAGCGCAUCUCUGCAGGCCCAGCGGCUCUGCACCUCAGAGCCCACGGGCGACGUCUCUGUGCCUUGCUCGCUCAUCCUGAGGCCUCUGCCACACCGGCAGGUCACACCUGUGCUGGGUUCCCUGUGUUCUGUUUCCUACAUUAACGGUGUCCACUGUGGCUGGUGAGAGGAGUUCAUCCAGGGAAACCAAAGCACGUGCUGAAGGGGCGUCGCCGCCGUGUUCAUGGCCCCAACCCGGACUGAAGAAAGGAGGGAAAACAUGCCCAUGUGUCGGUGGAGGCUGCUCGGCCUCCCAGAGGUUCUGUCCUUGCAGCCCGUGAUGAACCCCAAGAGCAUCAGGCCAAAGGAAUGAGGGCAGGCACAGCAUGCAGUCCCACCUGCUAGUGGAGCCUGAAGAAGAGAAGUGUGGUGCCCAGGCUGGGAGUGGGCGGAGGGUGAGGGAGGGCAGAGACACACUCCAUUAGGGGCCAGGGCUCAAGGCGCUGUCUUACAACAUAGUGGCUGCAGGUGAUGACAAUGUAACUUUAUGUAUUUAUUUUUUUGUACCAGGGAUGGAACUCAGAGGAACUCAACCAGUAAACCACAUCCCCAGGCCUUUUAAUUUUUUAUUUUGAGACAGAGUCUCCCUACGUUGCUUAGAGCCUCAUUAAAAUGUUGAGCCUGUCCUUUAACUUGUGAUUCUCUGGCCUUACCUCCCUAAACUGCUGGGAUUUCAGGCAUGUGCCACAGCACCCAGCAUGUAACAUGUCCUUGAAACUCUCUAAGAGAGUAGAAUCUAAGUGUUCUUAUCACAAAGAAUAAGUAUGCAUCUAUUAAUUGGUUCAAUGUGGCCAUUGCACAAAAAUGUAUACAUCUAUAUCAUCAAAAAAUAAAUUAGUUCAAAAACAAAA